rnacentral:piRNA from 1 species
UUCGAGCCCACCCAGGGACGGCG